rnacentral:ncRNA from 1 species
UUCAAACCUCGCGCCGAUUUGGGACUGCUUGCGGGCGCGUUACAAAUACCAGCUAAAGUGUCGAGGGAGAAACCCG